AGGAUGAACGCUGGCGGCAGGCCUAACACAUGCAAGUCGAACGCAACUUCGGUUGAGUGGCGCACGGGUGAGUAACGCGUGGGAACCUGUCCUGUGGUACGGAAUAACAUCGGGAAACUGGUGCUAAUACCGUAUAUCCCCUGAGGGGGAAAGAUUUAUCGCCAUAGGAGGGGCCCGCGUAGGAUUAGCUAGUUGGUGAGGUAACGGCUCACCAAGGCGACGAUCCUUAGCUGGUCUGAGAGGAUGAUCAGCCACACUGGGACUGAGAUACGGCCCAGACUCCUACGGGAGGCAGCAGUGGGGAAUAUUGGACAAUGGGCGAAAGCCUGAUCCAGCCAUGCCGCGUGUGUGAUGAAGGCCUUCGGGUUGUAAACCUCUUUUAGUAGGGAAGAAGCGAAAGUGACGGUACCUGCAGAAAAGCACCGGCUAACUACGUGCCAGCAGCCGC
rnacentral:rRNA from 1 species